UUUGGAGUUUAAGGAAAAGGUUAGGGCUUGUGCUAUAAAUUGGGAAAUUCAGAUACAGUAUUUAAGCCAUAGGACAGUAUGAGACCACUCAGAAGUGAACACAAUGCAAAGAGAUGGUCUGGGGAUUGAACCAGAUAUCAGGAAGAGGAGGAGGACGGCCAGAGGACACAGGGAAGGAGUAACCACUGAUGUAGAAGGAAAGCCAGAAGUGUGAUGUUCUAGAAGCCAAGGAAAAAAAAAAAUUGAAGGAGGGAGUUGAUCAACUGGGUCAAAUGCCAUUGAGACACUGAGUAAGAUGCGGCCUAAGCACUGACUGGUGCGUACCUGUGCUUGCAGAGUAACAAAUGCAAUCAGAGAGGUAAUACAGUUCUUACUGGGAAAGAACAGAGGUGACCACCGGGUGGGAAGAUUCGUGUCCCCGCCAACCAGUGCUGCACUUAACACUUCCUCCCUAUACCAGAUGGGGUUUUGGUUGCUGUGUACUCCUCCUUGCCAGGAACUGAAGGACUACUCAGCUGGGUGAGUAGGGGGUGGGUGCAGGAGGGUAAGAUGAGGGAGAGGGCAAGAGCAUGAAGCCAGUUCAGUCUGUUUCAAGCCAACUGUAACCCGCUCUUGCUGCCUGCGCAUUUCUUCUGGGCAUGCAGGGUCAUGGAUAGGACUUGGCAUUCAGCAAACAGUGAACGAAUGAAUGCAUCUCAGUGGCAAAACUUGUCUUUGAAUCUUCUCAACUCAAUUUCUUUGUCACUGGGCACCAUAAAACCAGAGUGUCGCAGGAUAUUAGCUCCUGAAAGCCAAAGGCUGCUGCCAGCAUUUCUCUAGCUCUGAGAAGUGGAGCUUGGCAUCAGCCUGUGAAAGUGGGCUGGCCUAAUUCUUGAAAUACAAAAUAAAGCUAGUUCAUAUUAACACAACUUCUUUGCCAGCAGUUUUUCCCCUGGGAGCUUGUGAUGUCUGACUGGUGGUUGUGGAUAAAUUGCCCCAUGAAGGCUGGCCUACUGCAGGGAUCAUUUCUGGGCUGAGCUUACCUGCCAAGGAGGGCAGCCGGACCGAAGGCCCCUGCUUGGCCCCUACCUGGAGAGGACAGGAACGUGGCUCAGUCUCUGAUUGGGUCUCUGGGGAUGUGCCCCUCUCAUCCCCUCCCCGAGGCCAACCUCGGCAGUUCCUGGCAGAGAUCUUAAUGUCGCCUCAGAGGCACAUUUCCCUCUGCUGCUUUGUGGCUGAGUGAGCCUCUCAAAGGAAGGUACAUAUCUGCCCUAUCAGGUUGAAAAAAAAAAAAAGCUGGAUUUUUUUUUUCAUGCAAAACCAUGAUAGAAUGUUUAUUUUUUGUUUAAGUUUGCAGGUUUGUCUCCAUCUUUGUCCCAGAAUAAGGUAGACGAAUGGCCUGUGAGGGAGCCAUGUGCAGGCUGGGCCGGCUGGUGCUGCAGAUGCUGUUAGCUGGGUUCAAAGCUGAUAUAUGCCCAGGAGUGGAGUUACUGGAUCUUAUGGUCUUGAAUGUGCUAAUAAUUUGCACAGCUGAGAAAUCAGAUGACUUUUUUUCCCCAGCUGAAGUCCAUGUACAUGUGAAGUGAUCCAGGUGGAAGGGGUGGUGGUGAAAAUUUCCUGGUCCUAGAAUGAAUAGAAAGGGAAGCAGUUUGUUUUUCAUCUGUGACUGAGAGCUUGCAUAGGCCCCAAGAGAAAACUCAAGUGUUAAGUGAUGAAAAGAAUAAAAUAAAUCUCGGAUCCCAGACUAGGGAUAUAGAUUCACACACGUAAUCUUCCACACCUGUAUGCACAAUUUUCAAUUUGAUAUCUCAAGAUGGAGUCAAAUGUGUCUGCGAGCUUCACUGACCUCUUUGUGACAGAUUGUGCAGAGGGUCUGCAGGUUGUCCAGGGAGCACUGUCCUCCUCCACCAGACACUGGCUUGAUGUGGUCCACCUGCCAGAAAUGCCCUUCCCCUGGGUUUCUUAUCAUUUCAUUAAGCUGUAAUAAGAACACAAGAUCAGCAAUUUUCAACAUACACUGUGGGAACUGUUGGGUUUGCAUUGUGCAAUCAUGUUCACACAGCAGAAUCACAGGGAAAAAUACAUUAGGAUGGUUUAGCUUUUUUUUUUUUAUAUAGCUUUUAUUGUGAGUAGGAAAAACCCUCUAGGUUAGCAAUUUGAAAGCAAUAAAAAAUAUGUUUCUGAAAAAGGUUUUUUCCCCCCCUUACCUAACCCAUUUUGAAAAAAUUACAAGUAUAAAAUACCAAGCCUUCUGACAGACUGGGAAUAAUCAAUUGCUUCUGCACCUUUGAGCUAGUUUAUAUAGUCACUAAAACAAAACUGAGAAAAAAAAAAAAGAACAGAUUAGAAAUGAAAAACUUCUGAAUAUUACUGACUCGUCUUUUAAUUGUUGACCUAAAUGCAUUUGUUAGUAUACCAAUGACAGUUUAAUAUUAACAGAUAUCACCCAGAACUUUUAUGCUAUUACCUGGGAACCUCCUAAGUUACAUGGACUGGAAUCAAAUUUCUAGAACAAAUCUCUGUUGCUUGCAUAUUUGGAAUAAAAAAGAUGUUCAUUUAAAGCAGCCACUAUUUAGGCCAGUCCAUAUAUGCAUACUUCAUAUUUAACGAAUAAUAACCUACAUUCAAACGGGAUGUAUUUUAGCAUUUUAUCUGAGGUAGUAAAACCAGCUCACAACAUAGCAGUGUAGAGUUGUUUAAAUAUCACAAAGACGAGUGUGAAGACGAUAUUAUAAUAUCUUCCUUGUUCCUUGGUCUUGAACAAGGAAGAUAUUAUAAUCGACUUCAAGGCUGCUGGCCAUGGGAAUCUGUGACAUAGCUCUAAAGUGCUUUAGGAAAGUUGUCAGGCCCAUGGAUGGCUCAGGGACCUUAGCAGCAGUGUCUGGCCCAAGAGCAGCCCCAGGAAGCAGCAAAUUGGAGCAGUAACCUUUGUCCACCUUAACUCUGUUACAGAUGGACUGACUGUCUCUUCUACACUGAACUUCCCAAAUUCUGUUAGAAGAUAUAUAAUGAUUUUUAUUUUUGAGGUUGGCAUUGUGGGAGGAGACUUCAUGUGGCAGUCUUGUGCAUCAAGCAAAUGGCAUAUUCUUAGGAAAAAAAAAUCCAUUUUGGUUCUGUCUUUUGUAACCGAUUCUUCUGUGCCGAGCAGUCUCCAUUCUGACAGAUCCUGUGAUCCAGAAGGUGCUUCUUUAUUCUUCCCAGCAAUUCGGAAUCACUUGGGGCCAGUCUUCAACAUCCUAAACUCACCUCCAGAAAGAAUCACUCCCUCUCCCACUGGUCAUUCCAUCUGGGCCCUGCGGUGCUCCUGAUUCUCUGAGUGCUUCUCUUUUAGAUGUGUACUGUGUAACUUGUGCAUUCUUGGACAGACUGCUUUCAAGAUGUUCUUGAGUCAUUUCAUUGUGUGUCUUCUGGAAGCCUCCACAUGGAGGCAGCAGCAAGCAACUGGAGUCUGGCUGACACCUCCGGGAUGGGUGUGACGUGACCCUCACCAGUUAGACCAAAGGAUCUUUCAGGAACUCUGGAUAACAUUAGGGGAAGAGUGCAUUUCCCUAACAAAGUCAUGCUAAUUCAUCUUUGCAGAAAUGCUUAUUAAUUCUGUCAUGAUUCAGCAAUACUAGGUAAAUAAAAAUAUAAGAUUUGACUCCCUGGCUGGAACUUACCCAAUAUUUUAGCAGACGGAGAGUGAUUUUUUUCAAAACUAAGCUUACUACAAAAUUACACAUUUUGCUCUAGUUUGAAAUUUAGUACUUAUCAGAUCACAACACUGGAAAUCCAACUGAGUUUUGGGAGUCAAAGUAAAUACUGAGAAUAGUGUGCUAAGAAUACUAUUUUUGUCAUGAAUUACAUUUUACAAUGGGAUAAACAUAUAUAAGUUUUCUUCUCAUUGUAACGACUACAUUUUGGGGGUUAUCUGUUUACCCCUUGUCAUUCAAUAUUAACACCAUGAAAAGUGGAACAAGCAUACCGUAAGUGCCUCUCAAUGCAAUGUACCAUCUGUUAAGGUCUCUUCCCAAAAUAAUCUAGUCAGAAUCUAAUUAAACCUCUAGAUCUUAUAACCAUUAUUCAGGAAAUCAGGGGGGAUAGAGAAACAUGUCAGACAACAUCAUGAGGAUACAGGGAGACAAAUCCAGAAUGUGGGAAAUUCUAAAGGCAAAUGUAACAAUUUAUAGUGUAAAAAAGGGAUGGGGUGAUAUUACAGAUUAUAUGGAACGUAAAAGGUGUAAUGACCAAAUGCAAUGUGUGGGUGAUAUUUUGAUCCUAAUUUGAAGAAAGCAAUUGUAAAAAGACAUUUCUGAGAGAACAUGGGAAACCAAACACGGACUUACUAUAACUGCGGAAUUAUAAUUGUGUUGGGUGUGAUAAUGGAUAUUGGGAUAUUUAAAAGAGAGACCUAUGAUGAAGAAACCAUAAUGGAAGAGAAUAUUAAAAAAAGAAUGUAUAUAUAUGUAUAACUGAGUCAUUUUUCUGUACAGUAGUAAUUAACACAACAUUGUAAAUCAACUAUACUUCAAUUAAAAGAAUAAAUAAAUAAAUAAUAAAAGAGAGAAAGAAAAAGGGGGGGAGGGAGAAAGAAAGUCUUUAUCUGUGAGACACACAUAAUGAAAGUAUUUAAGGGUGAAAUGAAACGCUGUCUGGAAUUUGGUUUAAAAUAAUUCCAGGAGAGAGAAAGAAUUGAGGUGAGGGACAGAUGAAGAUGAAUGGCAAAAUGUUGAUAACUGUUAAAGUUUGGUGAUGGGUAUGUGGGUCCAUCAUUCUCUCUACUUUUGUAUAUGUAUUUGAAAAUCCCCAUAUUA